GCCCGUAUAGCUCAGUGGUAGAGCGCAUCACUCGUAUUCCCAAUCUGCGACAUGAUGAGGUCCGCGGUUCAAUCCCGCGUGGGGGCA